ACUUAAAUAGCUUAAUUAGAGCAUAAUAUUGAAGAUAUUAAGGUAAUAAAAUUA
rnacentral:tRNA from 1 species